rnacentral:tRNA from 1 species
GCACCUGUAGCUCAACUGGAUAGAGCGCUUGUCUUCGGAACAAGAGGUUGAAGGCUCAUAUCCUUCCGGGUGCA